ACCAAUUACAUUAUAGAAAGAAGGGCCAUAAAAUCUGUAGGCCUAUCCAUAGAAUAUUUUCGCGUAGGGCUAAAUUAAUUUUAAUAUUGAUUUUCACCUAUCAAUCCACCUACUACACGGCAACUCUAUAGCUACCUUUCUGUAAGUGCCAAAACAAACGUUAGCUCGUAAUGCUAACUCGUCUAAAAACAACUAGGCUACUGUAUAACAUGUGUCACACUAUUGAUACAAUGAUUUGUGUUGAUUUAUAACAACGUUUCAUUUAUUUGCGUUCGUGAUUUUCACAAGCCCUCUGACAAAGUCCCAGCGAGCCAAGUCCCAGCCAAUGAGGGAUUAGUUCCCUCAUGAAUAUUCACGAGCUUCCCGCUACCACCCUGCAAAAAAUAAACUCGCCCCCGGCUGUGAGUUUUGGUUGUUGUAGUUUUCCGGUGGAGCUGUGCCUGCCUGUCCGAUUGUGGAAUCCAAUAAACCUGCUAUCAAGCUUA